rnacentral:tRNA from 2 species
GCCCCGAUAGCUCAGCCGGAUAGAGCGUCCGCCUCCUAAGCGGAAGGCCGCUGGUUCGAAUCCAGCUCGGGGCG